rnacentral:rRNA from 1 species
GACGAGUGGCGGACGGGUGAGUAAUGUCUGGGAAACUGCCUGAUGGAGGGGGAUAACUACUGGAAACGGUAGCUAAUACCGCAUAACGUCGCAAGACCAAAGGGGGGGGACCUUCGGGCCUCUUGCCAUCGGAUGUGCCCAGAUGGGAUUAGCUUGUUGGUGGGGUAACGGCUCACCAAGGCGACGAUCCCUAGCUGGUCUGAGAGGAUGACCAGCCACACUGGAACUGAGACACGGUCCAGACUCCUACGGGAGGCAGCAGUGGGGAAUAUUGCACAAUGGGCGCAAGCCUGAUGCAGCCAUGCCGCGUGUAUGAAGAAGGCCUUCGGGUUGUAAAGUACUUUCAGCGGGGAGGAAGGGAGUAAAGUUAAUACCUUUGCUCAUUGACGUUACCCGCAGAAGAAGCACCGGCUAACUCCGUGCCAGCAGCCGCGGUAAUACGGAGGGUGCAAGCGUUAAUCGGAAUUACUGGGCGUAAAGCGCACGCAGGCGGUUUGUUAAGUCAGAUGUGAAAUCCCCGGGCUCAACCUGGGAACUGCAUCUGAUACUGGCAAGCUUGAGU